rnacentral:rRNA from 1 species
UACGAGGGGUCCUAGCGUUGUUCGGAAUCAUUGGGCGUAAAGGGUGCGUAGGUCGCUAUUCAAGUCAGUUGUGAAAUCCCCGGGCUCAACCCGGGAAGUGCUUCUGAUACUGUUUAGCUUGAGUACUGGAGAGGAUAGUAGGAUUCCAGGUGUAGUGGUGAAAUACGUAGAUAUCUGGAGGAAUACCGGUGGCGAAGGCGGCUAUCUGGCCAUGUACUGACACUGAAGCACGAAAGCGUGGGGAGCAAACAG